rnacentral:misc_RNA from 1 species
UUUCCGUAGGUGAACCUGCGGAAGGAUCAUCACUGAGUUUUGAAUGAAGUUGUUCUGGUCUUUCGGGGCAGGUGAACGCUUCUCUCAAUCCAUCUUACACCUGUGCACCUAUCGGGGAAGACUUGGAUCUAAGUUGGGUCACGACGGCGAUCUACAGUCUCCUCUUUAUACCAAAUAACAGUUUUAGAAAGUCUUUUUUGCUUGAUGCAAACUUAAAUAAAUACAACUUUCAGCAACGGAUCUCUUGGCUCUC